CUCUCUCUCUCUCUCUCUCUCUUCGAUUGACUUGCUCCUGUUCUACUGACUUAGUUCGCCAAUUGAUGCGAUCUCUUUCAAUUUUGAUUCUUGAUUGAUUCUUGUGCGUUUUAUAAUGAAAAAGAGAGCUGGAACCACCGCCGAUAAAGCGGUACUUAAUGUUUGGCAACGGGAGGUUGGUGACCUCUCCAGCCGGAAUUUUGCUCACCGUCUCGCUGCUUCUGAGGAUCUUGUUCUGCGACUUGAUAUAUACAAGAAGCUAGAUAAGCAUAGGGGUUGUGUAAAUACGGUAAGCUUCAAUGCUGA
rnacentral:misc_RNA from 1 species